CGCGAAGUCGUCACUCGUUAUACAAAACGUACGAUAAUGUCCGCCAUUAUGGGACGGUUAGACGAUAUCGACAGACUGUUGUAACGCCGGAAAAUUCACGUCUGCCGGCCGGCUGCGUCGGCGUGGCCGCACGGCGCGCGAUGAAAACGAGACUUUAGGACGAGCGCGAGCGCAGAAGUCGCAGACGACGACCGGACGGUCCGACG